rnacentral:rRNA from 1 species
GAUGAACGCUGGCGGCGUGCCUAAUACAUGCAAGUCGAGCGAACAGACCAGGAGCUUGCUCCUCUGACGUUAGCUGCGGACUUGUGAGUAACACGUGGAUAACCUACCUAUAAGACUGGGAUAACUUCGGGAAACCGGAGCUAAUCCCGGAUAAUAUAUUGACCCGCAUGGUUCCAUAUUGCACGACGGUUUUGCUGUCACUUAUCGAUGGAUCCGCGCCGCAUUAGCUAGUUGGUCAGGUAACGGCUUACCAAGGCAACGAUUCGUAGCCCACCUGACAGGGUGAUAGGCCACACUAGAACUGAGACACGGUCCAGACUCGUACAGGAGGCAGCAGUAGGGAAUCUUCCGAAAUGGGCGAAAGCCUGACGGAGGAACGCCGCGUGAGGGAUGAAGGCUCUCGGUGAGUAAAACGCUGUUAUGAGGGAAGAACAAAUGUGUAAGUAACUAGGAACGUCUUGACGGUACCUAAUCAGAAAGCCACGGCUAAAUACGUG